AACGUAGGUUCCGAGCGUUAUCCGGAUUUACUGGGCGUAAAGCGUGUUCAGGCGGCUCGGCAAGUCGGGCAUGAAAUCUCUCGGCUCAACCGGGAGGGGUUGUCCGAUACUGUCGGGCUUGAGGGCAGUAGAGGGUGGUGGAAUUCCGGGUGUAGUGGUGAAAUGCGUAGAUAUCCGGAGGAACACCAGUGGCGAAAGCGGCCACCUGGACUGUACCUGACGCUCAAACACGAAAGCGUGGGGAGCGAACAGG
rnacentral:rRNA from 1 species